rnacentral:lncRNA from 1 species
AUUGCUGUGGAUAUUGUAAAGCAUGCCUUUAUCACCAAAUUCAAUGACAUCACUGCAGAUGUCUACAGUGAAUAUAGAGCCAGCCUUGCUUUUGACCUUGUUAGCAGCCGACAGAAAAAUGCAUACACAGACUACAGUGACUCGGUAGCACGAAGAAUGGGAUUUAUUCCUCUCCCACUAGCGGUCUUACUCAUCAGAGUUGUAACAAGCUCAAUUAAAGUGCAAGGAAUCCUGUCCUAUGCCUGUGUCAUACUCUUCUAUUUUGGGUUGAUCUCCUUGAAAAUACUUAAUAGUAUUGUGCUGUUGGGAAAGUCAUGUCAAUAUGUGAAAGAAGCCAAAAUGGAAGAGAAGCUAUUUAAUCCUCCCCCAGCCAGCACACCUGCAAAACCCUCCAAUAAAUCCCAGAGCAAGUGCAAGUCCUCUCAAGGCCUCUCCACAGAAGAAAACCUGUCUGCCUCCAUCACCAGCCAGCCUGUUCAUCAGAAAGAAAAUGUCAUACCCUUACUUGUGACCAGCAAUUCUGAUCAGUUCCUGACAACCCCAGAUGGUGAUGAGAAGGACAUAACACAGGAAAACUCGGAGUUAAAACACAGAUCCUCAAAGAAAGAUUUGUUAGAGAUAGACAGGUUCACAAUUUGUGGAAACCGGAUUGACUGAGUUUGUGGCUGAGAUGAAGAUGCUGGGUGCCAGGACACUUGCUAAACACGGCACUUAAAUAUUUAUUUAAAAACUUAAAUUAUUAAUGGCAAGCAAAUCUUAGUAUCUUCUUCCAGUAAUGUGGCCUUGUAGAAGGGCAGAUCACGGAACAGCGAUGGCCUCUGGCCUUGACUCUGGAUGCUGACAGUUGAUGAACACUUCCUCCUGCUUGACCAACAGCAGUGCCACUUCCGGCCCUGGCCAGAGCACUGCAAAAGCUCCUUUUCUUUGUCAGCCUGGGCUUCCAGAAUGUUGGGUUUUCCUCAAGGCCUCUUCAGUAUAAGGACACACCUGGGAAACUGUGAAGCUUUUACCAUGAGUUACCUUUCCAGCCUCAGACUGUUUCCACACACUCUUUCCAAACUUUUCUCCAUCUGCCAAAGCAUUGACAAGUUAUUACAUAUAAGUCCAGAUAAAUGUUCUCACCACCAGAGUCAUCCUUGGCAAUACAUCUGAGCUAGUCAGAGUAAAAGGCUACUUAACUACAAGGUGACGAAUAGCAGAUCCUAUAAGAAACAAGGAGCUCUUGGCCCAGUCAUUACCUAAUGAAGGUCACGUGUCACUGAAAAAUGCUUCCUGCUGCCUCAGUUACUCUCAGGGCAGAGUGUGAGCUAUGUGACACAGGCACAAUGGCAGUGAAUGGCACAGAGCAAUGUCAACUCCAGGUGCAGUGUGACCAGGUUUCACUUUAAGGCUAAUUGCUUCAUCGGUUAUUCCAAGUUAAAGGAUUUGGUGUUGAAUUGGCUGAAAAGCUGUUGCUAGCAACAGGCUAGUUUUGGGGUUUUAUUUCGUUUUGAAUAACAGUUUUAAAGUAUUCUCAGCAGAUUGAGCAGCAUCGCCUUGCUGGGACUGUAAAAUGCUUUUGUCUUUCUGUGGGUGUGUUCUGUGUAGAGAGGAGAUGGUGAGUGUUUGUGCUGGGAGAGACCUUCACAUGACCGACCGUAAAUGGGAUGUUUGGGACACGAGGGGGUACUACAGCGUGGACACUGUAACUAGCAACCAAAAGGUGCUCUAGGUUUUCUGUUUGAGAUAAAGAUGCUAUUCCUGCUUCAUUACUACCUAUUGGCAUCAAAGGACAAGUUCUUGUCACCCCACUUUAUCUUAAGAAUCUUUUCUGCACUUCUCUUAGAAAAAAAGUUGACCGUUUCUGACUCUUUCCUAUGCUGUCUUCUGAAACUCAGUUCUCAUGCAAACACUUUGGGCAGAGAUGGCAAAUUUUAAGUGGUUUACCCGUAUCCUGUUUAAGUACAAAACUAGUCCGGAUGCCUUUGAGCUCCAGGAGGGUUUCUAAGGUUUUGCACUAACAGAAUCUACAGGUAGCUGUUGGAGAUGCUAUAUAUUUAUGCCUUGUAAAACCAGGAAGCAGUUUAAGUUUAAAAUGAACAUUUUUAUUCUUUUGUGUAUGUUUUAGUGGGGCCCCACUUCUAAACUUUUUUUUUUAACAAAAGAAAGUAUCCUUGGCAACCAGGGGAGGUGCAGAGAAAGCUUUGCCAAAUGCGGCCCUGGUCAGAACAAGAACACGGCCUAGAUGUAUCUUUUUGUUCGCUUGGAUUUUCUGUUUCUGUGCUAUUCUCUGAAGAUUGAUUUCCUUUGCAGAUGCUCUUGGGAGUGUGGAUGAUGCUCACUUCUGUCAUAAUGGCAUUCAGUACUAAUUUUAUAAGUGCAUCUUGUGUGAAACUCAAUAAAUUCAAUUUUAUAAUCUUUUUUAAAAA